UCCUUCGUGGCGCAAUUGGCUAGCGCGUCAGACUGUUAAUCUGGAGGUUGUAAGUUCGAUCCUUACCGAAGGAG
rfam:Neurospora tetrasperma FGSC 2509 unplaced genomic scaffold NETTE2scaffold_2, whole genome shotgun sequence.